rnacentral:lncRNA from 1 species
UGCCAUGUGUCAAGCUUAGGAUAUUUUAUUAUUUAACUUAAAAAUCAGCACAAAUCAGCCCAUUAUUCCCCAAAUAUUCGGCCAAGCAAGGAAGAGAGGGAAAGAAAGGAAAAACAAAACCUAGGUGAGGAAUUUCAAGAGAAAAAGUGUGGAAAAUCAAGGAAAACAAGUGAAAAAGGUAUGAUUUUUCAACUUAAGCUUGAAAUCUAUUUUCCUUAAGCAUUUCUCUUUAUUUUCCAUGCUCAAAUUGCAUGUUUUUAUGAUGAAUUGUUGGCUGAUCAAAAUGGGUUAGGAGAGAGAAAGUUGUUGGAUUUAUUUGAUUUUAAUUUAUGUUAGUGUUUUUAGUUAGUUUAGCAUAUUUAGAAACAAAACAACAAGAAAAGAAUUUAUUUUCUCCCACAACCAUUAAUGGCUGAAUUUACCAUGUAGUGAGUGAGGAUGAGUUUGAUUUUAUUCUAGGAGAAUUGGUUAAGGAAUAAUGAAUUAUGAGCCUAGAAAAAUAAUGGGAAUUUUCGGAGCAAAAAUACGAAUUUUUACCCACUAGGGGUAUUUUCGUAAUUUGCUGUUGGGACUGAUAAUUUGCACCACACUGAGGGACAUUAAGUUAAUUUGGGUGCAAUUGAGGUAUAGAAACUGAAAAGAAUUAAAUUGGAGUUUAAACGGACCCGUUAGGAAUUUAAUCGGGUGAUAAGACGAAUUAGGCCAAUACCGGGUUUAGAUAGUUACCAGUGCAUUUUUGCAUUCCAUAUCAUGCAUUGGUAGUCUAAAUUAGUUUAAUUUUGAUUUAGUACCAACUUGGUGAAACUCUCGAUUUUGUACUGUGUCAAGGUGGUGAGUCCUCCGAUAAAGGCAAGGAAAUUGCAUC